rnacentral:rRNA from 1 species
UACGUAGGGGGCAAGCGUUGUCCGGAAUCAUUGGGCGUAAAGCGCGCGUAGGCGGCCCGGUAAGUCCGUUGUGAAAGUCAAAGGCUCAACCUUUGAACGCCGAUGGAUACUGCCGGGCUAGAGUCCGGAAGAGGCGAGUGGAAUUCCUGGUGUAGCGGUGGAAUGCGCAGAUAUCAGGAGGAACACCGAUGGCGAAGGCAGGUCUCUGGGCCAUAACUGACGCUGAGAAGCGAAAGCAUGGGGAGCGAACAGG